UUCAAUUGUGUUUUAUUGGUAUUGAUUAGUGGUCAAUUUCUUUGGCGGGAACUUCACAUUUCUACAUGGUCACUUUGUGUAAUGGACACCAUUUUCAUUGUCUAGUAAAUUGUAAUAUUAUAUUCUAUUUGGAGUUUGGUUUUCCUAUUUAUAAGGUAUAUUCCAUAUUGAUGACCCACCAUGUCGGCAUCAACCUGAUGUGAUUGUAUUCUUAUUGUGUUCAAGCCUUCACAAAUACCUGUGAGGUAGGUUAUGUUAUGUUGAAUCUAUGUGCGUUUUGCUUAUUGUAUUGUCUGCUCUAGAAAGUGCUUUAUGCUUUGUUUGCACGUAUGUUCUUGCUUUGCAUGUAUAUGUUAUUUUUAAAUAUGCUUAUUUAAAUUUGGUAUUUAACAGUUCAAUGCAUUACUGUUAUAAUGUAUUACUAAUGCAUCGACAUAUGCAUUAUGAUUAGAUUUGGUAUUUAGAUGUAUUCAUGAGACAAUAGAAUUGGAGAUCACUAUUUCCGACUUAAUGAAAUUAUAUAGUAUUCUUUUAUUAUUGAAAUGCUUGGAAAAGUAAACAGUUUCCUUGUUCAUAAUUGUUAACAUAAUGUUUUAAAUCUUUUAUAUAGUUACUUAAUUAUAUUACAUCCAUUAAUAUAAUGUAUUGUUAUUACAGGGUGUUUAUUUUGGAUUACAAUAUAAACGAAAUAAAGAAUCCAUAACUUUA